rnacentral:lncRNA from 1 species
AUCAUCAUCAUCUAAUAAUUACAAAAUAUUUUUUGUUGCCAACCUUACCACCAUUGCCAACACCGGAGACAGUAAUCGUUCAUGUUCAUUCACUAUAGGUAUCAUUGGAUCGCAAAUUAAUUUUGCGAUCUACUCAAUAGUGGAACUUAAGUCAGUAUCGAAGGCUUUGUAGCGAAGCACAUACUGCCCAAGUGUAUAUGAAAACUGUGUGGCAACCGCUCAAAGGCAGUGGUAAAGAGCACAAUCCCGCCUGAUUCUUGACUAGCGUUUAUCAACCCAUCAGAUGAUAGUGGCAGGCAGCUUACCUUUAUUUGUCUCCUUUUCAUGGCAACAUUAUAGUAGCCAUUUUAUUUAAGGAACACACGAGGCACCAUCAUUUCUUCUCCGCUAACGACGGCAUAACAGAUUGUGUACGGAAGAUAGUUUGAAGUCUAAUAGGGUUUGUGGUGUCACACUAGGAAUACUUCCACUAGACGCUGAUGAUGGUGACAGAGACAUUGCUGGCACCGGCGAUGGCUUAGGUAUUUUGUUGUUUUUGAAAAAUUAAAUUUCUAAAUAUUAAUAAAUUACGUAAUUUAGUGCAUGGGUAUUUU